CAGCUCCAGUGAUUUUCUUGUGUCUCUUUGCAAGUAACUCACCUUGUUAUCUCUACUCCUCAGCAUUUUGAUGUUCAUACCUUGGAGACUUACAAGCAACUCUGGGUCAGGACAUGUCUUUCUGCCAGCCUACCACCUGCUGUUAGUGUCUGCCUGCUCGCCCUGCCACCUAACUCAUCCACCUCAACCAGAGAUCAUUCCCUGGCUUUACCCUCCACCAUCAGACAACCACCGGAUCAUAUUUCCUGGACCUGGACCAAGCCUCCCGCAUAUUCGUGAAAAGGUGGAUAACAAUGUUCAUUUCAUCCCUUAA